AACGUACUGCGCCCCGAUUAACCUCCGGGCACAUUCGGUUGAGUGACAAUUUCAAUUCUGGUUCCUCCGAUUCCAGUGUUACCGGAAGCGCAGAACCGACUUUCGGCGGUUUGAUUCGCAAUCAAUCCGUUCAGAUGCGGCUGCCCCGAUCAAUGCGGCGUGCCCGGAAACCAUAUGAACAGUUUGGUGGAAAGGUACAUAAUGCCGCAAGCGAAGGGCCGCUUACCGUUUUUCGCCUUGGCGCAAGCCGGGUUACAACUUACUAUGUGUCCUCAGCUCGAGUGAGACUACCCGCUGAACUUAA
rnacentral:misc_RNA from 1 species